rnacentral:rRNA from 1 species
CCUACGGGUGGCAGCAGUGAGGAAUAUUGGUCAAUGGGCGCGAGCCUGAACCAGCCAAGUCGCGUGAAGGAUGACUGCCCUACGGGUCGUAAACUUCUUUUAUAAGGGAAUAAAGUGAGGCACGUGUGCCUUUUUGUAUGUACCUUAUGAAUAAGGAUCGGCUAACUCCGUGCCAGCAGCCGCGGUAAUACGGAGGAUCCGAGCGUUAUCCGGAUUUAUUGGGUUUAAAGGGAGCGUAGGAGGGUUGUUAAGUCAGUGGUGAAAGUUUGCGGCUCAACCGUAAAAUUGCAGUUGAUACUGGCAGUCUUGAGUACGGUUGAGGUAGGCGGAAUUCGUGGUGUAGCGGUGAAAUGCUUAGAUAUCACGAAGAACCCCGAUUGCGAAGGCAGCUUACUAAGCUAUCACUGACGCUGAUGCUCGAAAGUGUGGGUAUCAAACAGGAUUAGAUACCCUAGUAGUC